rnacentral:misc_RNA from 1 species
GAUAUAAUGCCUGCUUGUAGGGGAUUCCUACGUAUCCAUUAUAUUUGACUUCUCAUGUGUAGGUUUGGGGGGAUAACAGAACCACAUGGCACUUGGUUUGGUUGUCAUCUUGCCAAUAGAAGUAGCGUGCUUAUAGGUGCAAGUGAUAUGCGGUGGUGUUCUUUAACAUUAAAACCAAUAUAGACAGAUGAUUAAAAAAAUUUAGGACUUUGAGAAAUGGUAUGCUCGACACUUUAUGUCAGCAUCUCUGCAUACUUACGUGAGGCAAGAACAUAUUCAUGAACAUGUGUUUCAUUGCUGAGCCACCUUUCUUUCUCUUUCAUAGUCCAUCCCCGUGAGCUUUUUCUGAAUUCUGCCUGCUUGUGGUUAGGUUUAUUGGCAAUUUAGAUCU